GUUUCAUCGAUAGAGCUGACAAAGUGAACGAGGUAAAGAAGUUGCAGUCUCAGUGGAGCGUCUACCAAAAGGUACAGUGAAAUUUGAUGAUGUGAGCAAAGACACAUUUCAAGGCACCAUCGAGGAAGUACAUUAUCGGACAAAAAGACAGGAACCGUUAAAUGGUGUGAUAUUGUACAACACAAGCAAUGGUAGUUCACAGCUGCCAUAUUGGGAGAAAGAUGUCUUGGGGGUGUUCACCGUCUUGACUUGGGAUGUUGUUGGUUUUAAAAUUGCUAAAGCCACUCAGUC